UACAGAGGUCCCAAGCGUUGUUCGGAUUCACUGGGCGUAAAGGGUGCGUAGGCGGUCGGGUAAGUCUGAUGUGAAAUCUCACAGCUUAACUGUGAAACUGCAUUGGAUACUAUCCGGCUCGAGGAAUGGAGGGGAGACUGGAAUACUUGGUGUAGCAGUGAAAUGCGUAGAUAUCAAGUGGAACACCAGUGGCGAAGGCGGGUCUCUGGGCCGAAAUUGACGCUGAGGAGCGAAAGCGUGGGGAGCAAACAGG
rnacentral:rRNA from 1 species